rnacentral:rRNA from 1 species
UGGGGAAUUUUGGACAAUGGGGGAAACCCUGAUCCAGCCAUCCCGCGUGUGCGAUGAAGGCCUUCGGGUUGUAAAGCACUUUUGGCAGGAAAGAAACGUCAUGGGUUAAUACCCCGUGAAACUGACGGUACCUGCAGAAUAAGCACCGGCUAACUACGUGCCAGCAGCCGCGGUAAUACGUAGGGUGCAAGCGUUAAUCGGAAUUACUGGGCGUAAAGCGUGCGCAGGCGGUUCGGAAAGAAAGAUGUGAAAUCCCAGAGCUCAACUUUGGAACUGCAUUUUUAACUACCGGGCUAGAGUGUGUCAGAGGGAGGUGGAAUUCCGCGUGCAGCAGUGAAAUGCGUAGAUAUGCGGAGGAACACCGAUGGCGAAGGCAGCCUCCUGGGAUAACACUGACGCUCAUGCACGAAAGCGUGGGGAGCAAACAGG